GUAGGGUGCGAGCGUUAAUCGGAAUUACUGGGCGUAAAGCGUGCGCAGGCGGUUUUGUAAGACAGGCGUGAAAUCCCCGGGCUCAACCUGGGAACUGCGCUUGUGACUGCAUCACUCGAGUACGGCAGAGGGGGGUGGAAUUCCACGUGUAGCAGUGAAAUGCGUAGAGAUGUGGAGGAACACCGAUGGCGAAGGCAGCCCCCUGGGCCGAUACUGACGCUCAUGCACGAAAGCGUGGGUAGCAAAC
rnacentral:rRNA from 1 species